GACGAACGCUGGCGGCGUGCUUAACACAUGCAAGUCGAACGGUAAGGCCCUUCGGGGUACACGAGUGGCGAACGGGUGAGUAACACGUGGGUGAUCUGCCCUGCACUUCGGGAUAAGCCUGGGAAACUGGGUCUAAUACCGGAUAGGACCCUGGGAUGCAUGUCCUGGGGGUGGAAAGCUUUUGCGGGGUGGGAUGGGCCCGCGGCCUAUCAGCUUGUUGGUGGGGUGAUGGCCUACCAAGGCGACGACGGGUAGCCGGCCUGAGAGGGUGACCGGCCACACUGGGACUGAGAUACGGCCCAGACUCCUGCGGGAGGCAGCAGUGGGGAAUAUUGCACAAUGGGCGCAAGCCUGAUGCAGCGACGCCGCGUGAGGGAUGACGGCCUUCGGGUUGUAAACCUCUCUCAGCACCGACGAAGCGCAAGUGACGGUAGGUGCAGAAGAAGGACCGGCCAACUACGUGCCAGCAGCCGCCGUAA
rnacentral:rRNA from 1 species